UUUAGGGACUGACUACUCUGUUGGAAGUGAGGGAGCCGAUGCUAAAUUCUAAACCCUUUUUAAACCUUGCCGUAUCGCAAUUUGCCAAGCGGAGGCUAUGUCAAAAUCCGUUUCUGUCUCCGCAGCACCCAUCCUGCGGUUUGGCAUGUAUUGGAUGCUCAGAUGAACAGAUUGACGCACAGAGGGGUGAAGUAACUUACUGAGGGUCACACAGCUGAACUGGCAAGAUUACCGUGAUCCCAGGAAGGUCUAACAUAAGUAUGGAAAUAAUGAAGACAGGAACAAAAAUCUACAUUACCAGUUUUAUAGAAACUUCUGUCGGGGCCUACGUGCAAGGGCAGCAGGGAGACUGGUGAUCAUUAUGAUCAGAGUCAUCUGUUUUGGAGAUGUUUGAAGCAUUUAAAAGAUGAAAUAUUAGCUGUGUGAUUUAAUCUGGAUGUUUAGGGGGAUUUGGGAAAAUUUAUAAUCAACGUUUAGGUGA